rnacentral:lncRNA from 1 species
CCUCAGGGUUCUAGAGGACGCAGGUCCAAAGCCAAGACGUCAGCAUCGCCUCGCUCCUGCCGGGGGCUCCGGGGAGAAUCCGUUCCGUGCCUGUCUCCCUCCCCUGUGGUGGCCAACGCUCCUGAGCAUGUCUGGGCUGUUGGCGCCUCACUCCAACUGCUACCGCUGUCAUCGCCUUGGCCUCCCCGUGGGCGUCUCUGUCUGUCCUCUCCCCUCCUCAAUGUGUGUCUUGUAAUUUUUGUAGAGAUGGGGUCUGUGUUGCCCAGGUUGGUCUCAAAUCCUGGGCUCAAGCAACCCUCCUGCCUCCUCCUCCCAAAGUCCGAGGAUUAAAGGUGUGAGCCUCCACGCCCGGCCUCUUCUCACCUUCUUGUAAGCGCUCUGGCCAUUGGAUUUAGGGCCCACCCUGGUCCACAAGUGCCUCGUCUUAACUAAUGACGUCGGCAAAGACCCUGUUUCCAGACAAGGUCAAGUUCUUGCGUUCUGAGGGGACGUGAAUUUGGGGCACUGUUGAACCAGGGUGGCGUCUUCCAGUCCUCACAGUGGGCUCAGUGGGGCGGGGGACGCCCGUUUCACACUCUUCCCAUUAACGUGGUGGCCUGGCCCCUCAGAGGCUGGCCCGCCCCCGAGUGAAGCCUCAGCCCCUGCCUGUGCCUCCCAGCCCUGCCCCCGACUCCACUGUCCUCAGGCAGCUCGUGCUCAACUGCCCAAAACCAUGCCAACCAGGCAGCUGCACCAGCCUAACCCAAAGGCUCCAUGCCUAACCGCAGGGCCCUUCGAUUUCCACCUCCUCCAGGAAGCCCCCCGGGCUGCACACCACGAUGAGGCUGACCAGUCCUCCCCAAUCACAUCUUGAGCCCCCUCCUCCCACAACACUGGGUGCUCCCAGGUCCCUACAAGGGGACUGGUUUGGCAAUGAUUCCAGGUGGGGUUCUAGGGUAGAACAGGUGGGGCAGGGCCCGGGGAGGAGGACCUGGGCAAACAGGUGCCUCUGUUGACACAGCAGCCCCAAACACGGACUGGGGCCGGGCCGCCCAGGUGUUGCUGAGCUCAGGACACCUCCAGCCCCCCUUCCUGGCCUUGAUGCCAAGAGCUCCUGGGGGAACAGAACUGGUCCCAGAUCUGGUGCUUUUUCUGCCGGGAAGCAGGCGCAGAAGUCGGUGCUGCGAGGCGAGCAGAUUCCGGCUCAGGGGAAGGGGCUUGUCCAGGACCACCCGGCCACACACAGCGCAGCAGAUGGGCCGAGGUCCCUGCCGCCACCCAGGUGACAGGAGGGGUGACCUGCACUGGCAGUCAGGAGCAGGCCUUCUAGCUCUAGCCCCUUCCUGAGAGGAAGAAGCACCCCACCUCCUUCCCGUUCACUGAAGGUGCGUCCAGGCUUCCAACUAAUCUCGCAGUCGGAAUGGGUGUGAAUUCCUCUCUGAAACUCUGGGCAUAAGAAAUGACACGUUUCUGUUACACAGACAUAUUGCAAAAAUUAAAAAAAAAAAAAA